GUCACAGGAGAACAGACCAUGGAAGGAGACCAGAUACUUGUGUUGACUGUUCUGAUGUUUAUUACUAGUGGAGACUUCAGCAUUGUCAAUUAUAUGACACAAGCUCAGCCUUAUGCUGGUUGCGAGUGUAGCUGUGAUUACCCAAACUUCACAGCUAGUAACGCAGCCGAGAGCAAGCACAGAGCUGAAGUGGAUGCCCAGAAAAUUGAAAGAGACCUGGCAGUUGAU
rnacentral:sRNA from 1 species